UGAGGAAUAUUGGACAAUGGGGGAAACCCUGAUCCAGCCAUGCCGCGUGAGUGAAGAAGGCCUUCGGGUUGUAAAGCUCUUUCAGAUGUAAAGAUAAUGACGGUAGCAUCAGAAGAAGCCCCGGCUAAAUUCGUGCCAGCAGCCGCGGUAAUACGAAUGGGGCAAGCGUUGUUCGGAAUCACUGGGCUUAAAGCGUGCGCAGGCGGCUAUGCAAGUCAGGAGUGAAAUCCCGGGGCUUAACCCCGGAAUUGCUUCUGAAACUGCAUAGCUAGGAUAUGGGAGAGGUUAGCAGAAUUCCGAGUGUAGAGGUGAAAUUCGCAGAUAUUCGGAGGAAUACCAGUGGCGAAGGCGGCUAACUGGACCAUUAUCGACGCUCAGGCACGAAAGCGUGGGGAGCAAACAGG
rnacentral:rRNA from 1 species